GGGGAUGACCUGUUUUGACAAGAGAAUAAUAUUGUUCGUGCAAAACGGAAGCCACGUCCUUCCUUAAAAACGUGAUCUUUUACGUGCAGAUUCAAUAGCACAAAAGGUAAAGUCACUUACUUCUCCGUAUUUUGCGCAGAAGGACUUCUCCUUCGCUUACGCUUCUUAAUAAAAUAAGUCGCUAGCGCAUCCUACUCAUUGAUGUUUGAUAGAUGAGUUUGGGUGUCAUUACAUCAGACUAGUGUAAUAGAGUUUCCUCACUCCUUUAUGCGAAAUCAUGAGGAUCAGCAUAUGUUGUUUUGUUUAUUUAAUAGACAUGUGUGUAAUACCAAAAAAUAGACUACGUUUUGUAGAAUCGUCCUGUAUUACCUUUUGGACGGGGGUUCAUUUCCCCCCAUCUCCACCA
rnacentral:tmRNA from 1 species